AUCCUACGGGAGGCAGCAGUGGGGAAUAUUGCACAAUGGGCGCAAGCCUGAUGCAGCCAUGCCGCGUGUGUGAAGAAGGCCUUCGGGUUGUAAAGCACUUUCAGUCGUGAGGAAGGUAGUGUAGUUAAUAGCUGCAUUAUUUGACGUUAGCGACAGAAGAAGCACCGGCUAACUCCGUGCCAGCAGCCGCGGUAAUACGGAGGGUGCGAGCGUUAAUCGGAAUUACUGGGCGUAAAGCGCAUGCAGGUGGUUUGUUAAGUCAGAUGUGAAAGCCCGGGGCUCAACCUCGGAAUUGCAUUUGAAACUGGCAGACUAGAGUACUGUAGAGGGGGUAGAAUUUCAGGUGUAGCGGUGAAAUGCGUAGAGAUCUGAAGGAAUACCGGUGGCGAAGGCGGCCCCCUGGACAGAUACUGACACUCAGAUGCGAAAGCGUGGGGAGCAAACAGGAUUAGAUACCCUGGUAG
rnacentral:rRNA from 1 species